UACGUAGGGGGCGAGCGUUGUCCGGAAUUACUGGGCGUAAAGAGCGUGUAGGCGGGUAUUUAAGUCAGGUGUGAAAGACCGGGGCUCAACUCCGGGGUUGCACUUGAAACUGGGUAUCUUGAGGGCAGGAGAGGAAAGCGGAAUUCCUGGUGUAGCGGUGAAAUGCGUAGAUAUCAGGAGGAACACCGGUGGCGAAGGCGGCUUUCUGGACUGACCCUGACGCUGAGACGCGAAAGCGUGGGGAG
rnacentral:rRNA from 1 species